UACAGAGGUCUCAAGCGUUGUUCGGAUUCAUUGGGCGUAAAGGGUGCGUAGGCGGCGCGGUAAGUCGGAUGUGAAAUCUCGGAGCUUAACUUCGAAACUGCAUUCGAUACUGCCGUGCUUGAGGACUGGGGAGGAGACUGGAAUUUACGGUGUAGCAGUGAAAUGCGUAGAUAUCGUAAGGAAGACCAGUGGCGAAGGCGAAUCUCUGGACAGUUACUGACACUGAGGCACGAAGGCCAGGGGAGCAAACGGG
rnacentral:rRNA from 1 species